GACGAAGGGUCCUAGCGUUGUUCGGAAUUACUGGGCGUAAAGCGGGUGUAGGCGGAUUUAUAAGUCAGGUGUGAAAUCCCGAGGCUCAACUUCGGAACUGCAUUUGAUACUGUAGAUCUUGAGUACUGGAGAGGAUAGCAGAAUUCCUGGUGUAGUGGUGAAAUACGUAGAUAUCAGGAGGAAUACCGGUGGCGAAGGCGGCUAUCUGGCCAGAUACUGACGUUGAGACCCGAAAGCGUGGGGAUCAAACAGG
rnacentral:rRNA from 1 species